AUGGCAGGUGCGCCGAACAGUCACGAUAAGCAUGACUUAGAUCUGCCAUUAGACGGUGUUCAGGAGAACGCACCUGCAGCUGCCCCAGCCUCAGAUCCGGAGCAGAUCUCGCCAUCCGAGGAUGGGUGGAUGGACCCCGCCAUGGAGGCCGCACACUCAACGGCGAUAGAGCCGAACACAGACUUCACCUCCCAUGAGGCUGGUGUCACCGGACCCUCGGACUCGUCUCCGGCCAUAGGCUCCGAACCGCGUGUGUCCGUGCCUGUCAAAUCUGAUUGGGCACCGAUCAUGAAGUUUACCUCCGUGGAUAUCUUUCAGCACUCACCCUUGGGCGACAUGCUAGAUUCAUUGAGGUCUCUCUCUCUCUCUCUGACAGAGGACUCUUGGCCGAACUAUGUCCGGCUUGAGUGGGAAGCGGACAACAAAGAAAUUCGUUCCCCACCCACCACCCACUUAAUAGCCACUGUCGAUGACUUAACCGACAUGCUUGACUUCAACUCCGAAGACAUCGACGGUAUGGACGACGAUGCAGGAGAAGAACAGGAACCACCGCCCACAGGGCGCUGGACAGCCACCUCAUCAUAUGAUGGUGGACACUCCCAAAGAAAGCGAUGGCAAUGA
rnacentral:rRNA from 1 species